rnacentral:rRNA from 1 species
AUUGAACGCUGGCGGCAGGCCUAACACAUGCAAGUCGGACGGUAGCACAGAGGAGCUUGCUCCUUGGGUGACGAGUGGCGGACGGGUGAGUAAUGUCUGGGGAUCUGCCCGAUAGAGGGGGAUAACCACUGGAAACGGUGGCUAAUACCGCAUAACGUCGCAAGACCAAAGAGGGGGACCUUCGGGCCUCUCACUAUCGGAUGAACCCAGAUGGGAUUAGCUAGUAGGCGGGGUAAUGGCCCACCUAGGCGACGAUCCCUAGCUGGUCUGAGAGGAUGACCAGCCAACCUGGAACUGAGACACGGCCCAACCUCCUACGGAGGGCAGCAGUGGGGAAUAUUGCACACUGGGCGCAAGCCUGAUCAAGCCAUGCCGCGUGUAUAAAGAAGGCCUUCGGGUUGUAAAGUACUUUCAGCGGGGAGGAAGGCGAUGCGGUUAAUACCCGCAUCGAUUGACGUUACCCGCAGAAGAAGCCCCGGCUAACUCCGUGCCAGCAGCCGCCGUAA